AGUGCGUCCUUUCCCUCUUGACUUUUUAGCAGUUCUGGGUAAAUAUUGAUUUGCCCCCAGUUUACCUUCUCCCUCACUGGCCAUUUUCGGACUAAGGAGCCAGCCUCUGUAAAGACUUGAUUUUUGUGUUACUUUCCGGCCCUUUCGUCCUCCACCCCUUCCUCCCUCCAAGUGGCAUUGUAAAACUCACAGUAACAAAGAGACAAAGUAGGGUUCGAGGCUCCAGUUCCUGGGGACUGGAGGGCGGUUUUACAUACGGGUCAGACGCGGCUGGAGGCCAAGGUCAAGUUGAAAGUUGCUGUCUAGUCAGCGUGAGAAAACUGCCAUGCAAGCCUGGAGAUCAGGGCGGCUGUGAAAGGCCCACCGCCCACCUCCCCUCA
rnacentral:lncRNA from 1 species